AUUGGCAAUGUGGCACUGGCGGUGGGUCAGGAUAUUGAUUAUGUGCGGAUCCGGUUCGAUUCCGGAGAUCAAUAC
rnacentral:tRNA from 1 species